CCUCUGUGCCUCGCCUGUGGCCACACGCACUGAUGGCAGAGCAGAGACAGAAACCUGGAUCCAGAAGUCCAGAGGGCUGAGAUGUGGCCAGCUUUUGAGGCUUUGGAGAAGGCAGUCUUGUUUUAACUCAGCUUGUGAUUUCAGGGCAUGUUCAAGAAGCGGUUUGCAAAUCCAGAGUGGCUUCUAACAGCACCCCGGGCCUUUGAUCUCUGACUCUUGCAGAGAAGAACUUCAGAACCUGUGAAAGCUGAGAGAAACCACCCCUGUCGCUACCUGGUGCUCACCAGCUUCACCGGCAGAGUUGCCCCAGGAGGUUUGCCCCCCAAGGUGAAAACUUAGGGAAGGAGCGCUCAGGAGAGCACGGUGCCUCCCUGAGCAUGAAGAGGAGUGAGUGCUUCAACCUUACGCGAUGGAGCCGCCAUCCUGCGUACCUGGAGCCUUAUGCUUGCUGUGCAAGGAUGCUUGCUGUGUGAGGCCACUACCAGUGUGUUGCCCAGGGCCACUCUUCACUUGGCCUGGGGGAAAGCGAAGCUUUCAGUGGCACUCUGUUUCUUUCUGUGCCCUCCAGCCAGCACUGAAAUGCACCCCAACCAAGGACCAGCAGAACAUCCCUGCUGCUGCACUCACAGGAGCUCCAGCCCAACCGCACCAACAUGGACAGCUGCUUGUCACCCCGAGACAAGUUCAGAGAUAAGCACAGGAGGUUCUCAAUUUCAUGGAAGCCAGCUCAGACUAAAAGGCAGCCCCUUCAUUUCAAGAAACCUCAUUUUUCAUUUGUAAAACACUUUCAUUCAGAAAAAAAAUAAUAAGUGGGGGGGGUUGGAAGGGAAGCAGAGUGCUACCUCUCCCCAGCCAUAGCAAAUACACCUGCAGAGCAAUUUCCAUUCUUUGAAAAGAAGUUUUAAAACACAUGUUUUAAUGGGGCACCAGCAACUCCAGCAGUUGCCUGUUGCUUCCUAACUCCAUUUGCGUGUAAUGUUGUCAAAUGACAACUGUUUGGGCUGGAAUAUUCCAGGUUGGAGUCUGCCCCAGUACAUUAUUUUCUGCCUGGAAAUUUUAAGUGCUAAUCACUUAUCUGGAAGAAAAUAAGCUCUUUUUUCCCCCAUGCUUCAAGAAAUUUGGUGACCUUUCUUUUCGUGCCCCCAGGCUUUGGAAAAAGGAAUUGAAAUGUGACAGGUUUUUGGCUUAUGUGUCAGGAACGUGCUGCUUGCCUGCAAAAAAAAGCUGCAUCCAAUUUUUGCCAAGUUAUAAGCCUCUGAAGAGAAAAUCAUCUUACGAGUGCUCACUAAAGCUGGACUGAUUAAAAAAAAAUCCUCUAGAAAUUCUUCCUGUCUUUUUUUCUGGUUUCACAGCUCC
ensembl:lncRNA